GAUGAACGCUCGCUGUGUGCAUAAUACAUGCAUGUUGAACGGGAUGUAGCAAUACAUUCAGUAGCGAAUGGGUGAGUAACACGUACCUAACCUACCUUUAAGACUGGGAUAACUAUUGGAAACAAUAGCUAAUACCGGAUAUAGUUAUUUAUCGCAUGAUGAGUAAUAGAAAGGAGCUUCACAGCUUCACUUAAAAAUGGGGGUGCGGAACAUUAGUUAGUUGGUAGGGUAAUGGCCUACCAAGACGAUGAUGUUUAGCCGGGCCGAGAGGCUGUACGGCCACACUGGGACUGAGAUACGGCCCAGACUCCUACGGGAGGCAGCAGUAAGGAAUUUUCCACAAUGAGCGAAAGCUUGAUGGAGCGACACAGCGUGCAGGAUGAAGUUCUUCGGAAUGUAAACUGCUGUUAUAAGGGAAGAAAAAAUAGAAUAGGAAAUGAUUUUAUCUUGACGGUACCUUAUUAGAAAGCGACGGCAAACUAUGUGCCAGCAGCUGCGGUAAUACAUAGGUCGCAAGCGUUAUCCGGAAUUAUUGGGCGUAAAGCGUCCGUAGGUUUUUUGCUAAGUCUGGAGUUAAAUGCUGAAGCUCAACUUCAGUCCGCUUUGGAUACUGGCAAAAUAGAAUUAUAAAGAGGUUAGCGGAAUUCCUAGUGAAGCGGUGGAAUGCGUAGAUAUUAGGAAGAACACCAAUAGGCGAAGGCAGCUAACUGGUUAUAUAUUGACACUAAGGGACGAAAGCGUGGGGAGCAAACAGG
rnacentral:rRNA from 1 species